GAUGCUUGAGGUGCGGAAGGCCGCACAAGGGAGUCUGUCUCGCGGGGACGACAGCAUGUUUCAGGUGCAGACAGGAGGGGCACAUAGCACGUGAGUGUCCUACUGCGCCCUGGUUGGCUCAGUCCCAGCGGACAGAUGCAGGUAGAGCGUCUCAGCCAGCAGCUUCAGCCAUGUUUCUGAUUAGUGGUCGAGGCAGAGGAAGAGGUUCAGUCCCUCAUUCUUCAGGUUCCCGUGGAGAAGGUCCGUCAGCUUCAGCUCGGAUCUUCACCCAAGCUCAGCAAGAGGCAGACACAUCGAACAUGGUGGUGUCAGGUAUGCUCACUUUUGAAUGUUCUGAUGUGUAUGUUUUGUGAAC
rnacentral:lncRNA from 1 species